AAAAUGGUGAGAGGGCUGAGGGGAGUUCCCGACAGGGCUGUGGGGACCCGUCGGUGCCCGUCCCACG
rnacentral:pre_miRNA from 9 species